rnacentral:rRNA from 1 species
GACGAACGCUGGCGGCGUGCCUAAUACAUGCAAGUAGAGCGCUGAAGGUUGGUACUUGUACCGACUGGCUGAGCAGCGAACGGGUGAGUAACGCGUGGGGAAUCUGCCUUUGAGCGGGGGACAACAUCUGGAAACGAAUGCUAAUACCGCAUAAAAACUUUAAACACAAGUUUUAAGAUUGAAAGAUGCAAUUGCAUCACUCAAUGAUGAUCACGCGUUGUAUUAGCUAGUUGGUGAGGUAAAGGCUCACCAAGGCGAUGAUACAUAGCCGACCUGAGAGGGUGAUCGGCCACAUUGGGACUGAGACACGGCCCAAACUCCUACGGGGGGCAGCAGUAGGGAAUCUUCGGCAAUGGACGAAAGUCUGACCGAGCAACGCCGCGGGAGUGAAGAAGGUUUUCGGAUCGUAAAACUCUGUUGGUAGAGAAGAACGUUGGUGAGAGUGGAAAGCUCAUCAAGUGACGGUAACUACCCAGAAAGGGACGGCUAACUACGUG